AGCGAACGCUGGCGGCAGGCUUAACACAUGCAAGUCGAGCGGGCAUCUUCGGAUGUCAGCGGCAGACGGGUGAGUAACACGUGGGAACGUACCCUUCGGUUCGGAACAACUCUGGGAAACUGGAGCUAAUACCGGAUACGCCCUUAUGGGGAAAGGUUUACUGCCGAAGGAUCGGCCCGCGUCUGAUUAGCUAGUUGGUGGGGUAACGGCCUACCAAGGCGACGAUCAGAAGCUGGUCUGAGAGGAUGAUCAGCCACACUGGGACUGAGACACGGCCCAGACUCCUACGGGAGGCAGCAGUGGGGAAUAUUGGACAAUGGGCGCAAGCCUGAUCCAGCCAUGCCGCGUGAGUGAUGAAGGCCUUAGGGUUGUAAAGCUCUUUUGUCCGGGACGAUAAUGACGGUACCGGAAGAAUAAGCCCCGGCUAACUUCGUG
rnacentral:rRNA from 1 species